UGAGCCGAAAAUUUUACCCAACAUGGCGGCAAAGAAGCGUGUUUUGUGACACAUCAGAAAUUCCUUUUCACCAUGGCUUACCAAACACAGGAUUUAACGUUUGGGGACUUCGAUACCCUGGACCAACAUGAGCAGAACAACAUCAGAAAGAUUCUGUAUGGGCCACGCAGUUCUACGGGAGAUAGAAAAGUGGAGUUCCCCUGGGAUGAAUCCAGAGGUAGCAUGUUCCAAAAUGACACUGCCCAGGGAGGAGACAUGGUGGCCCCACCAGAGACAAACUGUAUGCCAGUGAAUAUGAACACAGACCCCAUCCCUAAUUAUCAACAUUACCAUAGUGACGGCCCUCCACAGCAGCAGUACCAACAGCAUAUGGAGGUCAUCCAUGAACAGAUGAACUCACAAGAAAAUGAAGAAUAUAGACAGGCUUAUCAGGAAGGUCAGCAGGAUGAAUUUUAUGGAAACCAGUUUCCUAGAGAGGAUCAGACUUACCGAGCUUCUUCAGUUGAAUUUGGUUACGACCCAAGUCAGUCAGAAAUGUCCCAGGGUGGAGGAAAACAACGUAGGAACAAAAAGAAACGUCCUCCUGGUUAUUACGAAAAGUUGGAGGAGGCUGAGAGAAAGUCUCAGACUGACCUUGUCCAGUCCAAUGUGGGAAACUGGGCAGACAGUGCAAUUGGACAGGUCUCACCUCAAAACUUUUCUUUUAUGCCACUCAAUUACCCGCCAGUACCUGCAGAGGUACGACACAUGGGUUCACCUGUAUCACAACAUACACCGCCUCCUUACCAUGAGCAGAGACCUCCUGGAAUUGGCAUGGUCCCCCCAUCAGUCCAGGAACGGCCCUUCCCCCAGCAAGGUGCCCCUCCCGCCAUGGUCAGGGUACAUCCCUCACAAACAAUGCACCAGGGCUCUAUUCCUCAACAGGAUCCUGCUGUGAUGGCCACAGGAAAUGCACCAGAUGCCAGGCAUGGGGGCUCUCUUCCAAGGGAGGGAGCCCAUUUGGGGACAGUGAACAACCCACAGAUAUUGCGAGAAGCUUCUCUCCCCCGAGAGGAAGCACGCAUGGGUAUAAUGGACCAAUCUCAGACAUAUCGUGAAACAUCAUUCCCCAGUCAUGGCCCACCACCACCAAUGGGCAACAUGGCAAUGGGGUCAUAUCCCACCCCUGUUCAGCAGAAUAUCAAUAGAAACAUGAGCAGUGUUCCACCAUCACGUCAGAAUCCAGCAGUAAAUUAUACCUACAGUUCAUCUCCCCAGGCCUCCCAUCAUAUGGACCAGGGUAGCCAUAAUGUCCCACCUGAAAAUUCAUCCACAUCUUAUCUUCCACAACAUAUCUCUAAUCCACAGACUGUACAGCAUCUAACUAAUCCACCUGUGGAUCGUGAGUUAGAAAAUGUGUCGCACCAAAUGUCUGAUCUCAGUGUGUCACAAAACACAAGGGGAGAAAACCCUAGCUAUGCACAUCAUCAUCAACAUCAUCACCAUCAGGGUCCACAGACUGAUAAUACAGUCUAUAAUUCUAACAAUGUAAUUCCUGUCAUGGAAAACAAACCAGCAGAUUCUAAUACAGGUGUUCGUGUAAACAGACCACCAGGAUUUAAUGCUCCUAGUUAUCAUCUUAACCAAUCAGUGGCAGCUGCAGUUUCAUUAAACUCCAUUGACUUUAAUAUACAAGACAAUUAUGAAAAACAGCCCUCACCACCAAGAAAUACUCCCACAGUGCAGGCUGAUCAACAAGUGGUGCCACCUAGUGAACAGUAUAUUGUAAAUGUUCAACUCGGUGAACCUAAUCAAACAGUCGGUGAAUCUGAUCGCCAAGUCAUUGAACCGGUUCACCAAGUCAGUGAGUCUGUUCACCAAACUAAACCAGAACCAAUUAUAGAAAGUGUGAAUAGUGAUUAUAGUAAUGUAGUUAACGAAUUACCAGACUCUAGUGAUGUAAACACCGUUCAACAAGGAAGUGGCGAUCUCAAGCUCGCGAAUGUAAGUAGUCCUAGUCUUCCAAUUCAGUCGGAACAGCCGAAACCUGUUAAAGCACCGACAUGGGCUGGACUAUUCAAAAACGUGACCCCGCCCACAUCAGGGCCUGUUGCUUACAGUGUCACACAUGUGGAUACCUCACCUCCUCCAUCCGAGGUGAAACAGAAUGUGACGAAAGACAUGAAUGUACCCAAUGAUCCGGUAUCUACAGAGGAUGACAAGCUUGCCAGGAAUUUCGGAGAGGCCCUGAGUAUCAUGACUGUUAGCCACGUACAGGUAGGACUGACCCCUCGUGGACUGGUCAACCGUGGUAACUGGUGCUACAUCAAUGCUACACUGCAGGCUCUGGUGGCCUGUCCCCCUUUCUGUGAUCUCCUGCGCCGGAUGCCAAAGUACAACAGGGAGGAAAGAGGCCCCAGUAGUACUCCAGUCUUAGACUGCAUGGUGGAGUUUGUAAAUGAAUUCUCGCCAUACGUCCGGAAUACUGACAGAGGAUCACAAAAAGGCCGUAGGAUGUAUCAGGACAUAAGCACGGGGAAGGAGUUUGAGCCGGUGAAUGUCUACAAGAUGUUACAAGUCAUGCAGGCAAACCAGACAUUUAAGCUGGGUCGUCAGGAGGACGCUGAAGAGUUCCUUAGCUGUAUUCUGGAUGGACUACAUGAGGAGAUGGCUUCUGUCAUGCAACUGGUCAACAAUACACGCGACUCCACACCAGAAACAGAGGCUAACGGCUUUGACCAGGAGGAAGAUGCAGAAUCGGAGAUGUCUGAGGAUUCCUGGGAACAAGUUGGACCCAAGAAACGAAGUGCUCUUACGCGCAAGGCUAUGUUUUCAAAGAGCCCUAUUGCAGACAUCUUUGUGGGGUACAUGAGGUCUGCUGUGUUUAAAUCUGCCGCCAAGGAGUCCGCCACUCUCCAGCCAUUUUUCACCCUACAGCUGGACAUACAGGCGGACACUGUGCACACUGUUCGGGAUGCCCUAGAGGGACUGGUGCUGAAAGAAUCCAUCAGUGGCUACACUUGUACCAAGACAAAGCUGGAGUUGGAGGUUGCCAAGAAGGUCACUCUGGAGGAACUCCCACCUGUCCUUGUCAUGCACCUCAAGUAUUUCGUCUUCAACAAAGACGGAGGGUCACAGAAACUUCUCAAGAAGAUCGACUAUCCCAUAGAUCUGGAAAUCACUAGAGAUCUACUUUCCCCCAAUGUCAAAUCAAAGCUCCAGCUUCACCAGAGAUCAUACAAACUGUUUGCUGUUGUGUUCCAUCAUGGGAAGAUGGCUACUGGUGGGGGUCAUUACACCACGACAGUAUUUCAUCCUGCCAUUAAUGGCUGGAUUAGCCUGGAUGAUAAUAGCGUGAAGCCAGUCAACCUACCAUUUGUUCUCAAGUACAACCCUCCCCGCGUACCGUAUCUGCUUUACUAUCGACGUACGGAUGUACACUAGCCAUCAAAUUAGUAUGCUUAUGUGUAGCUCUCACCUCUUACCACUUUCCCUCACUGCCAGAGUAAUAAUCUAGCCAGUGUUGUGUCGAUUAGAUAAACUGAUGAAAGAUAUGUUAUCUCAACUGAUGCAUACAAAGUGUCAGACAAAGUGGCAUCCAAACAAAGUGGCAUCCACUUUGUAUCACACCCGAGACAGCACUGAUAUGUGUGUAGGGGGCUGUAAUGACCGGCACAACAGUUGUGACAAACAGUUAUUUGUGAAAAUAAUAAUUUCAUUCAAAAUCCUAUGUGUUCUGGGGAGAGAAAUGCAGGGAUGUGUUGACACUGCGACCUCUAUAGUAGACAGGAAUCGUCAAAAUGUGGUGUAGUGUGUUUGGGAACAAAUUUAUAGACCUUGUGAAUGACGUCAUUCUUAUGUUAAGGAUGGAAGGAUAGAAUAUUUAUUGUUGAGUUCUACAGAUACAAUUAACUGAUUAACCUUGGAGACAUCAUGUGGCAUUCUCCAACACUGGUUCACAUACAGACUAAUGGUCUCUCUAAGGUCUCAACGACCAGAGAACAUAACCAGGUAUAUUUGUUUUGUUGACGAUAGUUUGAUGAAUACAUACUGUUAAAUAUUGUUACAUUCAUGGUUAUUUGGGUUUGUAAUUUUACCGCUUGGCAAGAUUGUAAAUGCUGACUGCACUAAGGCUUGCUGUGUGAAAGUGAAAGUUGAUAUUUUACCUGAAAUUAUGUAUAAAGGUAUGUUUCUAGUGUGUCAUGUUUACAUGGGUGUUAUGUGUUUCACAAGAGUGCAUGCAUGCUUGUGAUGAAUGGUCGUAAAAUAUAACAAUUCCCCUGGAACAAGAAACGUACCUCUGGUACGAUUAAUGUUUGUCAAGUAAAAGUAAAUCUGCAGUGAUCUGGAUAAAAUAUGUAGAUUUAUUAACCAUUGACAAAAUAGAAAAUGUCAACACCACAGUCGGUUCAAGGACAAACAAUACAAACAUUACCAAUUGCGAGAAUUUCCACUUUUUCAGUAGCUGACGAUUAUGUUAUAACACUUGUACCUAAUUAGUGUAUACCUGUGUAGUAGGAUAAACAUUGAUACACAGGUACGGUAAUGAGACGGUAGAGUAUACCUUAUGUCCAGGUAUUAGUAGGAUAAACAUUGAUACACAGGUACGGUAAUGAGACAGUAGAGUAUACCUUAUGUCCAGGUAUUAGUAGGAUAAACAUUGAUACACAGGUACGGUAAUGAGACAGUAGAUUAUACCUUAUGUCCAGGUAUUAGUUGGAUAAACAUUGAUACACAGGUACGGUAAAAACUGUGCCUGUGAGAAAUCGAUAUGAAAUGUGUGAAGAGAGAUUAAUAUUGUGUGGACAUAUUAUAUUAAACCAUGAUUCUAAAUAAAUAUAUAUAUAUAUAUCAAAAAGGUAUGUUUUAAGAAUAUAUUUUGUUGCCUAUUAAAUGCAUUGUCUAAGAUGAAAAUGAUAAUUGGAAAGGAAAUAUUGUAUUAACAAGGAAUAUUCUACGUUUAUUUGAUUUUUUCUUUUCUUUCUGCUAUACACUGUACUGAGGCAUUAUUGCUUUGUAUUUAUGAUAUUUUUGUCAAUUAUUUAUCUAUUUUGUGUUUGAAUUGUAUAAAAGAAUCAAUUGUGUGUAUGGGAUCUAUGCUACACUAAUAAAUCAGUGUUGUUGGCAUUAUAUACUUCAAUAUGUUUCUAUUCAAAAUUGUUCUUGAAUAGAAAUAAAAUUCGUAAAAAAACAAAAAACUCUUUUCCUAAAAUAUAAUGAUUCAACUGGUUUAUACAUUUUAUGAUGAAUAUAGAUUUUAAUAUUAAACAGCUUUAAUUUUCAUGCAAGGUUUCUCAUGGCACUGAACGUAUUUAGAGUAUACCUUCAGUGUUUCUCCAUAUAGCUUUGAAUCUAUUGUAAAGGUCUCUACAUUGACCCAGCCAUAUGGGAAAGGUUUCUUCAUCAUGGUCAACUUAUAUCUUAAAAUUGCUGUUUUUUUUUUAACAGAGAUGAGUUUAUUUGUUGCUUGAUAAUAGCGUUGAAUCCCUUAUAUACAAGUUUAGGUUUAAGAUCUUUUGUAAUUAGAUCAAUGGUGAUAAGAUCUUCAGAUCUAUUGUAACAAGAUCCUUAGAUAUAUGAUAAUCAGAUGAUACCAUAUAUGGUAAUAAUAUACAAGUUUUGGUUUAAGAUCUUUUGUAAUUAGAUCAAUGGUGAUAAGAUCUGAAGAUCCAUUGUAACAAGAUCCUUAGAUAUAUGAUAAUCAGAUCAUACCAUAUAUGGUAAUAAGAUUAAUGAUAACAAUCUUGUAUCAAAAUUUCCCUGCUUGGUUUGAUUGGCAAGCGACAGUUAGACUUUAUAUCGAGGGACAUGUGACAAACUAAUAAUGCUAUGACCGAGAAGCAUGGAGAACAAUGUUUAUUGAACUUUCAUCUGUAUACAAAUUGUAUCUCUGUAGAAAUAUUUAAUGUGUACAUUGAAUAAGGUAUGCUAUUUUAGAGGGUGCUUUUAUUACUAGCAUGUCCUUGCAUACAAAAACAUAUUCAGAUUUCAUACAUAUUUUUUCUAUGUAAUUUGUACAAUAAAUGUAGAAUUAAAGUGUGAAGGGAAUCUACAAUAUAUCAAGGAAUAUUUGUUGUAUAAAUGUUGUGUUUAAAUAUGACUUUUGGAUUAUCUAGGGAUGGUCCUUGUACCCUUUUUGUGCUCUGCAAAGUAAGUGUGAAAUGGAUUUAGUUUUUGUAUUGAGGUACAAGGUGUUCUGCAUUGAGUAUGUGGUCUGAGGGGGUCCAUCAUAAAUAAUGUAUAUAAAAUAUAUAUUUUCUGAUCAACUGUUUGUUGAUAAUUGAAAUGGUUUCUAGGUUUGCAGUGUUAUAAUAGCUACGUGUGGUUUUUCAAAUGGAGGAGGUAUCCUAGUGAUUGACAUCAUAAUCGUCUGGUGGCUAUUACAUUUUCCUCCCCUGGAUAGUUUGUAUUUAAUCAAUUGUGUAUAUAUGAUAAACAUAAUAAACAGGUGUUGAUUGAAUGUUUCUGUAUGCAGGAGUGUGUUAUUGCUAUAAUUUCUGGGCAAAUAUAGUAUUUAUUCUAAUAAAUGCCCAUGCAGUCUUUAUAUUUGCCUUCGAGAGAAGGACAGGGGUCUUCGUUGCAAUGGUAUUGCACCAAACUCAUAUGGAAGUUUUGCGCAACAUCAUAUUAAGUUACAAAAUACAACAUUUUGAUUUAACUAUGACUUUUAAUUCAGGUAGUUAAAUGAUGAAAUAGUCAAAGAAAAAACUGUUGAGAAGUUUAUUUGAUUAAAUACAGUAGUAACCAGUUUAUUUGAUUAAAUACAUUAGUAACCAGUUUAUUGAUGAAAGAGGUGUCCAAGUAUGAUAUCCAGUGAAACCACCUGGUUAUUUUAAUCAAUGUAUUAGUGAGUUUAUGAUAUUCACAUUGAGGAUUUCUUUGUUGAGAAAAAAUCACUAACAGUUUAGUGAUUCAUUAGCCUGCGAUUUUAACGAUACAAUGCAUCUCUUGAUUUGAUUAAUUACAGUUAUAAUCUGACAAGUCUUUGCUUGAGUUAUUUUGCCAUGCUCAAUUUUUCAUUCAGUCAUUUUUGUUUAUCUUAUCUUUUCUGAGUAUUAUCUAUGACAUUUGUUGCAUAUUGAAUAUUUUGUCAUCUAUUUCUUUUAAUAAUUGCUUUUUUUCUCUCUGUGCUGUUUUUCACUUCUAUCCUAUUUUAACUAUUCGCUUCUGGUAUUCAAGCAUCAGUAUUUAUAUUAUUGGAUGGAAGAGGUCGAACAUUUGGUGAAGAUAUGCUCUGGGAACCUCAUCACCGUGCACUACAAAGAACUCCUAGCUACCUGUUUCAAUGUAUCUUUCUGCUACAAAUACGUUUGAUUUCUUAACAGUUUGUAGAAUUUAUAAAUGGAAGGAACACAUUUUGUUCGUGGCAUUGUCUAUUCUUAUUUUAUUAAGAUUUUUAUUUGUUUCUUUGCGUUAUUAAAUAACUUGUUGGUAGAAAAACGACAACAUCCUUUUUAUGUGAUAUAAAGACACAUAUAAAAUAUGAGUUCUUUGCAAUGGAAGGAAAUGAAGUUUAAGUUGUUAAUCUCUCUAGCAGUGUUACAAAUGUUUUAAAGGAAUGACUUGUUUUUUGCUAGUUUUGUAGUCUAGGGUCGGGAAGUUUGAACGUCUAUCAGGAAGAAAGAGAGAAAGUUCAAAUUAAGAUGAAAUGAAAUUAAAUAAAAACCUUCCUUUUGGUCA
rnacentral:misc_RNA from 1 species